rnacentral:lncRNA from 1 species
ACUUCUGCGGGCACGCGGGGCCGCGGGCGGGACAGCGGGGUGGCGAUUGCGGCGUCCAGAGUCCCUUGAACUCGGGAACCUUUCAAGUCCUGAGUCAGGCGGCGGUCCUCCGGGACGCCAGUGCCUCUCAGAAGGCUCAGUUUUGGCCAGCCAAGGGCUUACCGUUUAAACUGGGUCUUUUUUAUUUCUACAGAAAAGGAUAGUUUUCAGAGUGACACCCCAGCAAACGCUCUGGGUGGCUCGCAGAGGCUGAGUUUAAACCACGUGAGACCUGGCCGCGGCGAGAGUCCUGUCCAAUGACUUGCGACUUGGGGUGUUCAAAAAGGGCUUUUCGCAUGAUCUCUAAUAAGACCUCGUUAUCUUGAAAACGAAACAGGGAGGGUUCGAAAACGCAAGAUGUGUAAUGCCUUGUGGUUUAAACCUAGUUUUUAAAAAAUGCACCAAUGAGCCAAUAUGAAACAGCGACAUGGAGACUUUCCCCCAUUGCGGCUCUGGGGGUAGAGAAUCUCUUGUAGCAAUGGAAAAUGUUCAGCUCCUUGAUCCAGACCCGAGUGGAUUCUCUCCAGGGAGCGGGUGGGUGGCGAAGGUCAGAGAGAGGGGAAAAAAGACCACGCUUUGGAAUUAGGGAAGCAACCCAGUGUUGUGGGUGUAGAGGCACCGAGGAUUCUGUUGCAGGGGGUGCCAGUGAUUGCCCUGUAUAAAUACGUAGAUACUAUUAUAUAUUAAUAUUAGGUUGUUACAAAAUCGUCUGUGUCUUCAGGAUGCAAACUGAGAAUAGUAGCUGUUUCUGCUAUUUGCUCCAAACACCGCUAUAUUAUAGUGAACUCUUUACUUUUGAGUGGGAUUAAAUACAGUGACUUUUAAUGCCUUCGCUUUGCUUUACAAUGUUCUUCCCUUAAAAUGCUCGUGUCAUAUUCUAAAGUUCUAAGCCUUCCUGUAGCGAUACGGGGAUGACUGCUUAAGUAUAUAUGUUGGUGUCUUACACAGUGGGUCCUCAGCAAAUAUUAGUGGAAUGAAUCAGACAUAAACAUUUAUUCAGAAGAGUUAACUAAGCAUGUACUAAUAACAAAGACCUUAUUAAAUUAUAUUUCAUAAUUGUUCUACUUUGACAUCCCCCCCACCGCCCCGAAUAAAACUUAAAGCUCAGACGGACUCUUGUUAUUUGAAGACAAUACUUUCAACUACUGCUGAAGGUUGGAUGUGUAGCGAAUAUGCUGUCCUAACAGCUUUUUAAAAAGAACUGCGGAUUUUAACAGAAGAGCUCCCCCUGCUGUCAAAUGGUUUAUGGGCAACGCGCCUGGAACGUCUAGAACACCUGGCAUGGGCCCACUGCAAAGCUGGAAAGCUGACCUUCAAGAUAGUUUUCACUGAGACUCAUCUCUUAAAGUUACUUUUAAUCAUUUAUUGACAA